CCUGAACCAAAGUUGGACGCUCAACCGACUGAGCCACCCAGGCGCCCUGGAAAAACUAUGAAACCUCGUUGGUGUGGAAACAAACAAAAAAAAACCUGACACUGUUCCCUGCUUCCAGUGGGAUUCAACACCUUGCAUACAAGGAUAAACAGAUGGCAUCCUGAGAUCAUUAAUAACACGCUCAGAUCUGGUGAUGGUCCCUCAAAGAAUAAAACCCUGAAUAAGCCUGGACCCCUUAAGAGAACUUUGCUAUGUUGACACUUGAAGCCCUGCUCGUGAAUAGGACAGGUGUAUGAAUGUGGUUUCCUCACCAUGAGUGGAUUCACGUAAAUUCAGAAAACGUGGUUCCACCCAGACAAAGCUGACCUGACUUAAACACUUAACGCCAGGAACAUGUGGUUCGUGGCGUGCCUUGUGCCGACAGUGCAGAGACCAGAAAUAACCAAUUCCACCCUUUACUUCCAUCUCCUGGGAGAAUAUCAAAGGGUUUCCAGUUGGGAACCCAGAACAUGACCUGCAGCCUAGUGAAGGAGGCCAACUUGGAAUGUGCAUUCUGCACAGGAAGGAGACUGAACUCUGAGAGGCAGAUGCCUUCCCCCCAAGCCCGUCAGCUUCUAGGUGCACAGAAUCAGGAUUUCAACUGAGAUCUCCCGACACCAAAUCCAGGGCUCUUUCCAUUCCAUUCUGGAGAGGGACUUGCGGCAAUGAGCCCCUAAAUGCCAGAAGAAAGAAGAGCGUGAUGAAGAGGAAGUGAGAGUCUUGUUCCUCAUGGGGGAAAAGAGGUAUUAUUUCAAAGAGGAAAGACAGGAAAAUGAGCCAGUAAAGGACCAAUGGUAACGGAGAGGUAGACUUUAGCUGAAGGCAAGGAAGAACUUUCUACAAUGUGGAAUUUUCUGGAUGUUUGUUAAAAAGCUACCUCACACUAUUAAGCUCUGCCUUGUUGGAGGACUUCAAAGAAAAGAGCCACCUCUUGCCUGCUGGCUUCCAGAUGGAAGCGUAGAGUGGAGAGUGGGGGCUGAAUGACUCCUGGUUCUGAGCUUGCCUGUCAGUGUCCGACAUCAUAGGACAUACUAUUGCAUAACUCAUGGACUCUGCGUGAAUGGCGCCCCCUGGUGUAGCUUCAGUGCCCAGCAUCCUCCGACUCCUCAAAAGAAAGCACGAUUGUUGAACCUGGAACUCUUGAGCGUCCAUCUCUGUCUUUGAAUGUUGUAAGAGAGAAUCAUUAAGAGGAUGAAAAUAUGAGGGAUUUUCCUCCAUUCUGUAUGUGAAGCAGCAAGAAAAAAAAUGUGAAUUCUUUAGUUCUCUGCUAACUCGGGCUGCUUGGCAGAAGAGGCAAUGAAUUAUUUCUGCUCCAGACUCUGCCUGACUUGAGCCCUCAGCACAGUGGGCCAGGUUGUCUCCGGUUGCAAAACCUGAAGCAAGAACAAGGGCAGAUGAAGCCGCCGGCGAGCAGGCUAUCCCUCAUGUUGAAGGAGGGGUGACAGGAAGAGGUGACUCUGCACAUACUCAUCCCAUGACGACUUGUGAAGAGCCCUCAGCAUCCUCAGGCACAACUAUUUCUCCCUGUCCACAAACAAGUAUUGACUGAACAUCUAUGGUGGGUAAGACAGUUGGGACCUAGUCUUCCAAUGCACAGAAACAGAACAAAAUUGAACACGAGAGCUUUUACAGACAUGGCUGAACGUGCCUUUGCGACAUAACCUCUUCCAUCUGCCAUGCAUCCUGGCCUCCGGCCCCAAAGAGCACUGCAGCCAGGAUGGAGAGGAGACUCAAGGGAGAAAAGACGAUGGCAUGGUGAGGUCAUAGCUCAUCUUGUUAAAGACAUCAAAGCAGAAGGGGGGGCCCGGGUGGCUCAGUCGGUUAAGUGUCCAACUCUCAAUUUCAGCUCAGGUCAUGAUCUCACAGUUUGUGAGUUUGAGCCCUGCAUCGGGUUCUGCACUGGCGGCACGGAGCCUGCUGGAAUU